AGGUGUAUUUAAACAUGGAGAGAACAACUGACGCGUAACAACUCUAUGAGGUGCAACCUAUCCAGUCCGUUUCCUUUUGAGAGCUGAAGAACCUGAAGCUUUGGAGAUGGUAAAGGAAUUAUCCAGGGUCAUACUGGCUAAGAAGAGUGCUAAAAGUGGAGACCUUUAUCACAAAGGAGAGAUGUCAGAGCUGAAGAUACCAUUUUGGGGGAGAAACACAAGAAUUAUUUGAUUAGGAUGACCAAUUUUCUUUCUAAG